CCUGGCUCAGAUUGAACGCUGGCGGCAGGCCUAACACAUGCAAGUCGAGCGGAAACGAGUUAUCUGAACCUUCGGGGAACGAUAACGGCGUCGAGCGGCGGACGGGUGAGUAAUGCCUAGGAAAUUGCCCUGAUGUGGGGGAUAACCAUUGGAAACGAUGGCUAAUACCGCAUGAUGCCUACGGGCCAAAGAGGGGGACCUUCGGGCCUCUCGCGUCAGGAUAUGCCUAGGUGGGAUUAGCUAGUUGGUGAGGUAAGGGCUCACCAAGGCGACGAUCCCUAGCUGGUCUGAGAGGAUGAUCAGCCACACUGGAACUGAGACACGGUCCAGACUCCUACGGGAGGCAGCAGUGGGGAAUAUUGCACAAUGGGCGCAAGCCUGAUGCAGCCAUGCCGCGUGUGUGAAGAAGGCCUUCGGGUUGUAAAGCACUUUCAGUCGUGAGGAAGGCGGCGUCGUUAAUAGCGGCGUUGUUUGACGUUAGCGACAGAAGAAGCACCGGCUAACUCCGUGCCAGCAGCCGCGGUAAUACGGAGGGUGCGAGCGUUAAUCGGAAUUACUGGGCGUAAAGCGCGCGUAGGUGGCUUGAUAAGCCGGUUGUGAAAGCCCCGGGCUCAACCUGGGAACGGCAUCCGGAACUGUCAGGCUAGAGUGCAGGAGAGGAAGGUAGAAUUCCCGGUGUAGCGGUGAAAUGCGUAGAGAUCGGGAGGAAUACCAGUGGCGAAGGCGGCCUUCUGGACUGACACUGACACUGAGGUGCGAAAGCGUGGGUAGCAAACAGGAUUAGAUACCCUGGUAGUCCACGCCGUAAACGAUGUCGACCAGCCGUUGGGUGCCUAGCGCAC
rnacentral:rRNA from 1 species